rnacentral:rRNA from 1 species
CCUACGGGAGGCAGCAGUGGGGGAUAUUGGACAAUGGGCGGAACCCUGAUCCAGCGAAGCCGCGUGGGUGAAGGAGCGUUUCCGCGCGGUAAGCCCUAUCUGCAGGGGAGAAGAUCCCGGUACCUGACCACGAAGCCCCGGCUCACUACGUGCCAGCAGCCGCGGUCAUACGUGGGGGGCAAGCGGUAUCAGGAUUUACUGGGGGUAAAGGGGGCGCAGACGGCAAUGCAAGCCAGGAGUGAAAGCCCGGGGCCCAACCCCGGGACUGCUCUUGGAAAUGCCGGGCUGGAGUACAGGAGGGGUAGGCGGAAUGCGUAGUGUAGCGGUGAAAUGCGUAGAUAUUAGGAGGAACACCGGUGGCGAAGGCGGCCUGCUGGUCGGUGACUGACGCUGAGGCCCGAAGGCGUGGGGAGCAAACAGGAUUAGAUACCCCAGUAGUC